UAUGAUGAUCCUAUGAUUCUGGCCAUAGCAACGUGAUUGUAAUGCUAUUGUAUUCCAAAAUUACGAAAAUCUCCCAAAAUAUUCGUCCUAUCAACUUAUCGUUUUCACCAGUCUGUUCAUUGACCAAAAAUACAUAAGUAUGACAAACUGCAGCAGUCAGCUCUGUAUGGAUUUAGUGUGAAUCCCCGGAC